rnacentral:rRNA from 2 species
UGGGGAAUAUUGGACAAUGGGCGAAAGCCUGAUCCAGCCAUGCCGCGUGUGUGAAGAAGGUCUUCGGAUUGUAAAGCACUUUAAGUUGGGAGGAAGGGCAUUAACCUAAUACGUUAGUGUUUUGACGUUACCGACAGAAUAAGCACCGGCUAACUUCGUGCCAGCAGCCGCGGUAAUACGAAGGGUGCAAGCGUUAAUCGGAAUUACUGGGCGUAAAGCGCGCGUAGGUGGUUUGUUAAGUUGAAUGUGAAAGCCCCGGGCUCAACCUGGGAACUGCAUCCAAAACUGGCAAGCUAGAGUAUGGCAGAGGGUGGUGGAAUUUCCUGUGUAGCGGUGAAAUGCGUAGAUAUAGGAAGGAACACCAGUGGCGAAGGCGACCACCUGGGCUAAUACUGACACUGAGGUGCGAAAGCGUGGGGAGCAAACAGG